UGCUACUCUGUUCGUCUAUGAUAUCGUAAUUAAUUGGAAAAAGAAUUCAGAAAAAAAUUUAUCGCAUUUCUAGGAGAUUCUCAGCUUAAUUGUUUAUACCUUUUCUCUAAUUCCCAAAAAAACAAGCCAGUGAUUGAUUAACACUUCAUGAGUUCACGUUUGUGACCCAUACAGAUAGAGAUUAGGGUAAUUUCAUGUCUGGGAAUUUUAUAAUUGCAUCGUAUUAGCUAAAAGAAAAAACAGUGUUUUUGUUUUGUGAUUAAUUGUGGUGGUUUCUGCUAGAUAGAUUCUUGCUUAUUUUGUCCUUUCUUCUUAGUUCUUACUCAGAGAGCAAUAUCAUUUCGAUUUCGAUUCUAAUUUCUAUAUACGUAUAUAUAUUUUCACUCUUUCCUCGUCAACCUUCGAAUUGAAAAGAGACAAAAGCAAAAGUAAGAACAGACAAGGGAAAAACAAAUAAAAAAAAUUACAGGCAAUUACGCAUUUUGGCCCUUUCUGCUUGAGUAACAUACAAGAAGAAGAGAGACGUGUCCAACUUAUCUUAUACCUUAAUGGGAAUUGUACAAAAUGGUAGUCUGCUUGGUGGGGAUUUUUGAUAUUUGUCUAACUCGUAUGUUAACCUUAAUAAGCAAAACCCUGCUUUCUUCACCACUUCUUGCAUAAGUUUGUUAAAUUUGGGAGGCAUCUUGAGGCUUUUUGACAGGUGGGUCAAGGAGAAGUGGGUUUAAAUUACAGCUUAUCUCAGAGAUUUGUGAGAGAGAUUUUUGGCGGAUUUUUGUGUUGAAGGGAAAACAGAGAUGGGUUCCUAUGGA
rnacentral:misc_RNA from 1 species